rnacentral:lncRNA from 1 species
AUGUACACACUUUCCUACUAGAGCAGUCUUACACUUCACUGCACAUAUGUCUAUUUUAUUAGAUAGCAAGGAAGUGGCCUUGCUAUUGGCCCUUGGACAAACUAGUUCCAGUAAUAAAAGUGAAUGAUCAUACAGUUUCUGAUAUUCUUUCAGUAAACUUAUGUCCUUUUUCUACAAAUAGAUUUAAUGUUUAAAUGUAUCUAAACGCAGAGUUAAUUUGGAGAUUUUUGGCAAAUAUUUGUACAUAAGACUUUCCAGAAUCUUAAAAUCGCUUACGUAAGUGAAAUUCAAAUUUUACAUUCUUGUAUACAUUUACUUUUCAAGAAAGUAAUUUGUGAUUAAAAAAAAAAGUUGCAUUAUCUCUUAUUAAACCCAGUAGUGUAUUUUUCUUCAUAAAAGGUUUACAAGUAAAACCAGUCAAAAGAAUAGUGAAAAUAAAUUCCUUCCCCAUACAUAGAUCAUUUUGGUCUGGU